rnacentral:rRNA from 1 species
UACGGAGGAUGCGAGCGUUAUCCGGAUUUAUUGGGUUUAAAGGGUGCGUAGGCGGAUCGUUAAGUCAGUGGUCAAAUUGAGGGGCUCAACCACUUCCCGCCAUUGAAACUGGCGAUCUUGAGUGGAAGAGAAGUAUGCGGAAUGCGUGGUGUAGCGGUGAAAUGCAUAGAUAUCACGCAGAACCCCGAUUGCGAAGGCAGCAUGCCGGCUUCCGACUGACGCUGAAGCACGAAAGCGUGGGGAUCGAACAGG